rnacentral:rRNA from 1 species
AGUAACAACCAUUUGAGUCUGGGAUUUCUGAAUGGGGAAACCCACUUACAUAAGUAAGUAUCAUUAACUGAAUACAUAGGUUAAUGAGGCGAACCGGGGGAACUGAAACAUCUAAGUACCCCGAGGAAAAGAAAUCAACCGAGAUUCCGAAAGUAGCGGCGAGCGAAAUUGGACUAGCCCUUAAGCUUUACACGCGUUAGACGAACGGUCUGGAAAGUCCGACGAUACAGGGUGAUAGUCCCGUAGUUGACGACGUGUGUUCAGUGAAAUCGAGUAGGGCGGGACACGUGAUAUCCUGUCUGAAUAUGGGGGGACCAUCCUCCAAGGCUAAAUACUACUGACUGACCGAUAGUGAACCAGUACCGUGAGGGAAAGGCGAAAAGAACCCCUGUGAGGGGAGUGAAAUAGAACCUGAAACCGUGUACGUACAAGCAGUAGGAGCAGGCUUUGUCCUGUGACUGCGUACCUUUUGUAUAAUGGGUCAGCGACUUAUAUUCAGUGGCAAGGUUAACCAUCUAGGGGAGCCGUAGGGAAACCGAGUCUUAACUGGGCGUUCAGUCUCUGGAUAUAGACCCGAAACCAGGUGAUCUAGCCAUGGGCAGGUUGAAGGUUGAGUAACAUCAACUGGAGGACCGAACCGACUAAUGUUGAAAAAUUAGCGGAUGACUUGUGGCUAGGGGUGAAAGGCCAAUCAAACCUGGAGAUAGCUGGUUCUCCCCGAAAGCUAUUUAGGUAGCGCCUCGGACGAAUACUACUGGGGGUAGAGCACUGUUAAGGCUAGGGGGUCAUCCCGACUUACCAACCCUUUGCAAACUCCGAAUACCAGUAAGUACUAUCCGGGAGACACACGGCGGGUGCUAACGUCCGUCG